UUAAGCUUACUAGAAAAAUGUGAUUUGCCGGAAGACAGUCGGAAUUACGUUAUACUAAUCAGCCUCAAUGCCAUCCUAAAGCCACAAUUAAUUAAAAAAAUAAAGGAAGUUUAUAGACCAUCCAUAUUGGAUGCGCAAAAUUGUUUUACAUACUCUUUAACCGAUAAAAGUUACAUUCAAACAUUUUUAGAAAAGAGAAAGAAGGAAUUUGAGGUGCAGCAAUGGAGGCUCCAACCAACUA